AUUGAACGCUGGCGGCAGGCCUAACACAUGCAAGUCGAACGAGUGGCGGACGGGUGAGUAAUGUCUGGGAAACUGCCUGAUGGAGGGGGAUAACUACUGGAAACGGUAGCUAAUACCGCAUACCAUCGGAUGUGCCCAGAUGGGAUUAGCUAGUGGGUGGGGUAAAGGCUCACCUAGGCGACGCUCCCUAGCUGGUCUGAGAGGAUGACCAGCCACACUGGAACUUGUGCACGGUCCAUAUUCCUACGGGGGGAAUCAGUGGGGAAUAUUGCACAAUGGGCGCAAUCCUUAUGAAGCCAUGCCGCGUGUAUGAAGAGGGCCUUCGGGUUGUAAAGUACUUUCAGCGGGGAGGCGUUACCCGCAGAAGAAGCACCGGCUAACUCCGUGCCAGCCGCCGCGGUAAUUC
rnacentral:rRNA from 1 species